rnacentral:lncRNA from 10 species
AUGCCAGGCCGUAAACCACUUUUCGAAAAGAAUCAAAGUAAAACAGUAAUUGUCUACGGAUGACAAAAGACUUAUAGUAGCCAUAGUUAAAGAUGCCUGUGACAAGGAAAAUUGGUUAUUUCUGUGGCAUCUAACAAUGUAACAUCAUAAUCAUAAUUAUGACUGAUAACAUAUACCAGGACAUAUCAAAAUUUUAGAAAUCUCAUAUGAUUUUGGAACAAAUAUUAAUCACACAUUUAUACUUGUGUGAUACACAUAUAACUCAAAGAAAGUUAAACGCUAUUGUUUAUUUGACAAUGCUUCCUGUAUGAUUCUAACAUACCGAGUAAGCCUACUAUUUGGAUUUCCAGGAGUUUCUAUUUGUUAUGUCCAGGUUAUGUCCACAUUAGUUCAGGUCAAAAAGACUUAAUUUUAGAAUUUGAAAUUUGAUUUUUGGCUGGGUACAGUGGCUCACACUGGUAAUCCCAGCACAUUGGGAAGCCAAGGAAGGCAGAUCGCUUGAGCCCAGGAGUUCAAGAUCAGCCUGGACAAUAUGAUCAAGCCUCAUCUCUAAAAAAAGAAUUUAAAAAUUAAGCUGAGUGUGGUGGCGUGCAUCUGUAGUCUCAGCUGCUCUAGAGGCUGAGGUGGGAGUACUGCUUGAGCCCAGGAGGGAGAGGUUACAGUGAGCCAUGACUGUGCCACUCCAGCCUGAGUAAAAGAGUGAGACCCUAUCUCAAAAAACAAAAAAAAAAUUGAUUUUGGGAAGUAUGUCAAAUAUCAAAGGUUUAAAACAUUUGAUAUCAAAAUAUGGCCAGACACAGUGGCUCACGCCUAUAAUCAC